rnacentral:rRNA from 1 species
GAUCAGAUACCGUCGUAGUCUUAACUAUAAACUAUGCCGACCAAGGAUUGGAAGUUGAUAAUUAUAUUUAUAUAAAAUCUUUUCAGAACUUUAUAAGAAAUUAAAAGUUUUUGGGUUCUGGGGGGAGUAUGGUCGCAAGGCUGAAACUUAAAGGAAUUGACGGAAGGGCACCACCAGGAGUGGAGCCUGCGGNUUAAUUUGACUCANCACGGGAAAACUUNCCAGGUCCAGACACAGUUAGGNUUGACAGAUUGNGAGCUCUUUCNUGCUCUUUCUUGAUUCUGUGGGUGGUGGUGCAUUGCCGUUCUUAGUUGGUGGAGUGAUUUGUCUGGUUAAUUCCGAUAACGAACGAGACCUCAGUUUAUUAAUUAAAUAANAAAAUAUUAACAAUAUAAGGGUUAGGAGUUUAUUGAUAAAUUAACUUGUAAUUUAUUAAUUUCUUUUAAAACUUGUUUAUAUUUCUUUUUAUUUUCUUAAAAAGACACUUGGUGUUUAACCAAGGGAAGUUUGAGGCAAUAACAGGUCUGUGAUGCCCUUUAGAUGUUCUGGGCCGCACGCGCGCUACACUGAUAAAAUCAAUAAGUUUUUUAUUAAAUUAACCUUAAUAGAAAUAUUUGGGUAAACUUUGAAAAUUUUAUCGUGCUGGGGAUUGACAAUUGUAAUUAUUUGUCAUCAACGANGGAAUUCCUAGUAAACGUAAGUCAUCAGCUUACGUUGAUUACGUCCCUGCCCUU